UACAGUGUACUUACAUACAAUAAAUAAAUAAAUCUUAAAAAAAAAAAAAAAAAAAAAAAAAAAAAAAAAGGUAGGGACUAGGAACAUAGCCUUAGUAGAUAAUGCGUUUACCUCACAGGAAAUAAAAAUCUGAGUUUGAGUCCUCCAACCUGGAAAAUGUCAGGUGUGGUGGUACAAGUUUGUAAGCUGAGGAGGCAAAACAGAGGAUGCCUAGGCCUCUGGCCAGCCCUUAUCCUGCAUGCCAAUGACAGACCCUGUUUCAAAGUAAUUGGGCAGAGUCCCUAAGAAUGAGCCGUGAGCGUGACCUUUAGACUCUAUGCAUAGGACAUCGGGAUCUGCAUGUGCACUGCACUAGCUCCCUCUGUCCUAAAAACAAAAUACAGAUCGCUGCAGCACAGAAUGUGUGCACUGAAGGUAUUUCAGUGUCUUACCAAAUCCUCCGCUGUUCUCAGUGGUACGGUGUCAGGACACCGCCUCUCAGAUAACCUCCAAACGUACUGAGAGAUGAGCUUGAAAAAGAGUUCCUCAAGUACCACAUUUGGGAGACAAGCUACGAGCUGAGCUUCCCAGAAGUCUAUCAAAAGCUGCGGAACUGCGUCUUCAUCCUUUCCACACAGCACCUAGAAAGGAAAGCAUCCCACAUGAAUGCAGAGCCAUCAGUCCGCCAUGCGAUCAUGCAGUUCAUAAUUUUGGCUUGACUGCCACAGCAAGAACUAAGUUACACACUUUCCGUUAAUAAGAAACAGACUCUAGGUGGCAUGUAUGGAAUUUCUGCAGAAAGUCUUUUAUUUUGUAUCCACAGCAAGAACUAAGUUACACACUUUCCGUUAAUAAGAAACAGACUCUAGGUGGCAUGUAUGGAAUUUCUGCAGAAAGUCUUUUAUUUUGUAUGUUUACAUUAUAAACUCAUUAUACAGAAGUCUGUCUUUUCAGUAAUGAGUGAAACUUCAGUUCUAUUCCCUAAUCUCCUUUGGUUUCUAUCAGACAACUCAGAAAAAUUACAUUUCCAACUGGACAAACCU
rnacentral:lncRNA from 1 species